rnacentral:lncRNA from 1 species
GUUGCUCUAGUAUUCCUGAUAAGGGUGUCUUCUAUGUCUGCAAUCCGGUCACUCGCGAGUACCGGUUGCUUCCCAAGAGUAGGGAAAGGCCUGUGACUCGGUUUUAUCCGGAUGGUGAGGCUACCUUGGUUGGCUUGGCCUGUGAUUCUUCUUAUCAGAAGUUCAAUGUUGUUCUGGCGGGUUACCAUCGCACUUUUGGUCAUAGGCCAGAUGGGAGUUUCAUAUGUUUGGUGUUUAAUUCUGAGUUGAACAAGUGGAGAAAGUUUGUCUCAUUACAAGAUGACCAUUUCACUCACAUGAAUAAGAACCAGGUUGUUUUUAUCAAUAAUGCUCUGCACUGGUUGACAGUUAGCUCUACUUAUAUACUUGUGCUUGAUUUAAGUUGUGACGUUUGGAGGAAGAUGCAACUACCUUAUGACUUGAUUUAUGGAAAUGGUUAUAGGAUUUAUCUCUUGGACUUUGAUGGCUGCUUGUCUGUUAUUAAAAUUUCAGAAGCAUGGAUGAAUAUAUGGGUGCUAAAAGAUUACUGGAAAGAUGAAUGGUGUAUGGUGGAUAAGGUGAGUCUGAGGUGUAUCAGAGGAAUGGUGCCAGGCAUUUUCCCGAUCAGUCAGACAGGUGAAUAUAUUUUUUUGGCAACUCAUAAGCAGAUUUUGGUGUAUCAUUGCAAGAGUCAAGUUUGGAAAGAAAUGUACUCUGUGAAGUAUAGCUCUACACUCCCAUUAUGGUUUUCUGCUCAUGCAUAUCGCAGCACAAUGUUCUCAUGCAACUGAGUCAGGGUGACUUCAUCAAAUAACUUUUGUACGUACAUUUUUAGUUACAAGUGUUUUAUAUUCAUUUAAGCCAAUGUUAUUUGCUUUAGAUAUCAUUUGUUUCUGGUAGUCAUGCUAAAACUAUGGUGUUGGCUUUGCCAUGGAAGUUCCAUUAUAUUGUUCCACUGCUGUCUCUUGUAACCGAGUUGUGGCUUCAAUAAAUAGCCUUUGUACAUAGAUUUGUGGUUGCGUCUGAUACCUAUUUAGCCAAUUAUUGUUUGCUGAAGAUAUUGUAUUUUCUGAUGCAUUUUAUUUUAAAAUUAUUUCAUUGACUUUGCCAUGAAGGUCCUAUCACAAAUAUUUUAGCAUCAUCUAUUGGAUUUAUCUGUUCACUCGCACAAAACAAAGUAUGAAACAGGUGAGAUUUAUCUCUCUAUCAACUAAAUCUUGUGGCGAUGGUAAUUGUUAGCCAUUUUUAUGUAUUUGAUGUGGUGGAUACCUGAUAAUUCCAAAAUGAUUAGGAUUGCUAUGGGCCUUUUUAGAAGAGCAUCACCAUAAGUUCCUUUUGGGAGAGAAAACUAUGGGGAAAAACUGAAAUUAGCUUCUCUUUUGCAUAAACUAAAUUAUAGAAGUUCUCUCAUAUAAACUUCUCUAAAUUUUUAAUUUGCACAUAAGCUAAUUUUAGCUUAUGGAGAACUUAAUUUCAGUUUUCUCUAUGGAAAAGUUUGUCCAAACAAAACCCUUUUUUUUUAUUUAAAUGGUCAGUUAUUUUAGUUUUUUUUGUUCAUUUUUCUUUCCUUAUUCUGAUAAUAUCCGCAUAUAGAAUUCCUGAUUUCAAAAACUUUAUAUCAUUAUAUUUUGUUUGGAUAAUUGGUAGUUAUGAUCCCAUUGAUCAGAAGUUUCUUUAUUUUAUCAUGUAGGUACCAUAUUGUUAGAGAUUUUAUCAUUCAGGUACCAUAUUGUUAGAUAUAAUCCUAUUAAUUUGGGUUCUCUUUCUCCCUUAUCAAGUAGGAUAAUUCUUAGUUAUGAUGCUCUUAACGAUGGAUCUUUGUGGCCUUUUAUAGGACAGACCUAUUUGGAAUAUUACCAAGACAAGUUAUUUUUCAGAAAAGAAAAAAACUCACGUUUGUCAAAACUAUUGAGUGGGAUAAUUUCUGAUCAGUAACACUGUAAAAAAAAUUAAACUAGGAGUGCAUGUAAAUUAUAUGUAGUGUAUACCCUGUUCACUAAAUAGCCAGUUACGUAUUUAUUCUAUUUUAUGUUAUCUAAUUUUCUUUUCAAGCUUAAACAGUCCAACUUUAGCAUGUCUGGUUUCAGGAACCUAUAACUAAAUACUGGGUUUGUUAUAUUUAUUUGCAAUAUUCACAUGCAACUUCGUAAAUUACAUACUAUUUUUCUUUUCUCUUGGUAUGAAACAACAUGAGUUGAAUUUAUAGUUAGCGCUUGGUAGAUAUCCAGACCCUUCUAUUUACGUAGGCGAAUUUAGCAUUCUUGCUAUUUAAAAACACGUUUGCUUGUGAAUAAAACAAUUAAACACUAUAAUCAGUGAGUCAGCACUCAGCAGCAGUUUAUCAUCACUGUGCAAAUUCAUGCUCAUUGAUAACACUUGCUGGUUGUUACAUGAAAUGACAAUUUUUUUCACAUGUAGUAUCUGUACUUCUUUAGUCGAAACUAUCACUAUUUUGUGACAAGCACGAAACACUUUUAGUAGCCAUUCUUCUGAUUGUGCAGUUUUUUAUCUGAUAAUGUCAUAUAAAGCCUAUGUAAAUAUAUUGCUCCAGUAAUGCAAAGCACUAGUUGUCUAGGACCUGCAGAUUUCACUUUGUUCUGUUUUGGAAAUUUAAUAAUGCAUAUUAUGAAAUGCUGCAAGGCAACAACAUGGAUCUCAUGUAGCGGUUUCAUGCAACAAAACAUUUCUUUGAGACUAUUUGGUGGACAGAAUAAAAGUUUGUUGGAUAGCCUGUGUGAGCAACACAGUUGAAUCACUUCCCCCUUGCAGAAUGAAGACGGUUUGAUCUUUCACAUAGGUAGGAUUCACAUGUGAUUAUGUGACCUAAAGAAAAAUAAAAUUAGAAUUGAUCUCAUGGUUAUUUUGUGCAUGUCAAUAUAGUAGUCAGUAGAGAAAAAUAUCAGUUUUGGUCUGAAUUGGUUAAAUGAAGAUACGUUUUUUCAUGUUCUUGUUUCAUUUGACUAUGACUGUCCUAUUUAGGAUGUUUUUGCUAUAUAUUUCAAACUCCAACUUUCUCUACAGGUUGUUUGGAAGGUGUAAAAUUCAUAGGAAAUUUUAGUACAUGUGACCAAGCAUACCUUAUUUUUUUCAUUAACAUUGUUAUAAACAAAAGAAAAUGUAUAUCGUACAUUCACAUUACUGCACGAUCCUUUCCUUCUCGUGAACCUUUGACAUUUCCGUUUUCUGCACUUUCUCUUUUUACACGUAAAUGUAACAAUUAAUUUUAUUUAUUUAAUUAAAAUAUUAAUUAAUUAAUUAAAAUUUUUAAAAACUUAUAUAUAAUUAAAUAUGUUUUAAAUUUUUGUUUAUAAAUAUACAUAUAUAUAUAUAUAUAUAUAUAUAUAUAUAUAUAUAUAUAUAUAUAUAUAUAUAUAUAAAAAAAGAUAAAUUAAAAAAAGAAAGUGACGGUCCAANAUAUAUAUAUAUAUAUAUAUAUAUAUAUAUUUUUUAUGUUAUGCUUUCUAAAUUUUAUUUAAAUUGGUUACGUACUUUUUUUUAUGUAUGAUUUUGAGCAUUUUAUUGUUAGAUCAUAUUAAAUAAAACAUUUUGUUUCAGUGUUCACUAAAUAAGUGUAUUUAAAACAGCAUAUUCUAUAUACCAAAUUUUAACACAUAGUUGCAAUACCAUAAAAAAAUCAUUAAUAUGAGACUGAAAGAAAGUAGGAUGUGAAGGAUUAUGGCAGUUGAAAAUCUUAGUUGCAACACAGUCUCCAAAGUAAGAUGGUCAAACAAGUUAGAAAGUCACACCCUCCCCAAUUUCUUGGCUUCUUAACUUGAUAAUUAAAUAUGACUUAGUGCUUUUUAGAGUGAGGUAUAUAUAGCAGUAAAUUAAUUAAUGUGAAGGAUUUCAUAGGUACUACUUAUGGAUUGACCAAAAGUCUUUGUACCCUAUGGUAGGGUCAAGUGUCCCCACAUCCCUUUUGCUCUCUGCUAAAGUCUAAUAUCUGAGACACUCACCAAACACAUCAUAUAAUUCAAAGUGUGUAGUGUGAUGCGGUGAAAAUGAAGAAAGAAAAUGAAAAAAAGAAAAGGUCCUCCUCUUUUUUUAGCGUUAUUCUCUACCACAUGUUAAAAGUUUCACAUCGACUAGAAAUAAAAUCAAUUCAUAAUAUAUAUAUAUGAGAUGUAAACUUUAUCUUAUAAACCGAUUUUGUAGGAUUGAGUUAGGCCUAAACUCACCUUCUAAUAUGAGUCAUGAUUAGAAUCUAUUCUACCGAGUUCUAAAUGAGCAUUUCUCUUUUCACCCGUUGUCGGACGACUAUUGGACCACCCAAUUUCUAUCAUUAUACACGAGAUAUUUAUAUUUUGGCGUGAAGGAAAUGUUCCUUAAAUGGUUUCAAAAUCCCUUCUCAAAAAGUUUUUUUAAUAUAUUUCAACAUUCAUUAAAAAAAAAAUUUCAACGAUUUCAAAAUCUGUUUGAACAAUUUUUUAAAAACUUUAAUGAAUUUUAAAACCCAUUAAAAAUUUGAAAAAUUCUUCAACGAUGAAAUUUAAUAAAGAAUUUUUUCAUCAAUAAAUUUCAAAAUUUGUUAAAUAAAAGAAGUAGGAGUGUAUGAUUUUUUGAAAUAUAAAAGAUAGUUUUAAAACUUUUUAAAAAUAUGGUAAUACAUAUAGCAAGAGGUAGUAUAAGGAUUAACCUUGGUUCUUUUAUUCAUUGAGAUAUACUUUAGGCCCAGAACAUUAAAACGAGACCAAACAAUGAAGUAAUAGAUCCAAUGAAGAUCUAAACUAGCAAUAAUAUAUACAAAGUUUUUGCUUUUUGCAGCCACACAAAUUCUUGGCACAUCCUAAAUUUUGAAAAUGACUAUUUUAUCUAUUAGAAAAAUGACUUUCAUUUAAAUGUUGAAAAAGUUCCCGGAAUAACAAUUUUGGAACAAGACUCCUAUAAUAGAUUUUUUGGAGUAAAAGUUUCGAAAUAGAAUGUGUCAAAUGUAUUUUGUAGUAAGAUUUUAAGAAUAAUUUUUUUGGAAUGCGUAUAGUCUCUUUCGAAAUGUGUUUCUUUUUUGUAUUUUCUCUCUUUUUCUUUUUCUAUAUUUCGUCGAUUUUUGAAGAAACCAGGUAUCAUGCCAGUGUGUAGGAAGUGAGGAGCCUUAGCAAUGUUGGUUAGUAUUUCAAAAAAUGUUUGAUACAUGUAUAUUCCAAUUAUUGUAUAUUUCCACCUAUUAUUGUAUGCAAUAAAUAAACUUUUUAAUCAAAUUAAAUAUAUUCCAAUUAUCUUAAAUUAUCUUUUGAUCACAAAUUGUAAUUUAAAAAAAUCUCAUAUUAUUAAAAAAGAACUAAAAUGUAUAUGGACAAGAGGAAUACUUUGUCAUAGAAUUCAAUUAUAAGAAACUUUUAAAAGACCAUUAAAAUAGGAUCCUUUAUUGAAAAUACAAACAUAUCAAAUUUAAAGAUAAUUAUUAACUAUAAUGUCAAGUGUAUUUUAUAAGUCUCACCUCUUUCAUCACUUACUUUUUAUACUUUAAUUAUUCUCAAAUUUAAUAUUUUUUUACCGAGAUACAAUUAAUUAGUUUAUUAUUAUUUUAUCUUACACUAGUGCAUUGAACUGUAUCAUAUAUGUGGAGAUUUAUAAUUCGUAAAUUAAAUUUUAUAGUGCCCUUUUAAAUAUCGUGUUUAUACCAAAUUUUUUAACUAAAAUUUCAGUUUGAUAGCAAACAAGUAAAAGAAUAAAAAUGAUUGUUUUUGGUUAAUACAAUUAAGUUAAAAUUGAUUAUUUUUUAAGUAGUGUGAUUCAGUUAAAAAUUAAUUUUUAAGAAGUUAGAUAUUCCUUAAUUAAUAAAAUAUUUAUACUGUUGAAUGUUAGAAAAACACCAUAAUAUUAUAAUGAAUAGAAAUUUAUUAAUUAUAUAAUUUUUAAAAAUUUAUUUGACAGAAUACAUAGUUCUUAUGAGGUACUUGCCAGAUGAACUAAACAAAAUAAAACCCUGAAUUGGUCUUAAUUCUGCAUUCAUCACAUCAAAUACAUCCUAAGUUUACUCGUUUAUGUCUACUUCUCAUUCUUCACAUACCAUGUUCCUUCGAUUCGAUCCCCUUCUCUUUUCUUCUAUCUUCUCUCCCUCUAUUUUCAUUGUGCGACCAAGUUCGUAUUUCCAAUCAUUAACUUCUAAACGUUUUCGGGUAAACGCUUAGCCAUAUUAUAUAUUCAAUCUUGCGUGUGUGGCGAUAAUGACGACAUAUCCCCCAUUAUUUUUUUCAAACGUAAAGGGGAUUUGAAGACCCAUUGUUCGCUUUCCCAUUCUCCAACCAUCGCAAACCCACCACCGCCCAAAAGGUGAAUCCUUUCUUCAUCGGAUACCCCGAAUUUUGUUCCGGUAAGAAAAGAUCGAAAUUUUAACUUUGUUCUUUUGGGUACCCGAGCGUUUAUUUCGUGUAAAGAAAUCUGCUAUUCAUGUUCUGAUUUCGUAUUUGAGGUUCUCCGUUAUGGAUAUGCGAGGAGAUGGGAUUUUCCCGGAUGAGGUUGUCAUUCAGAUUCUUGCAAGGUUGCCUGUGAAGUCCCUUUUCAGGUUCAAAACCGUGUGCAAACUGUGGAAUAGGUUGUCUUUGGAUAAGUAUUUUGUUCAACUCUACAAUGAGGUUUCUAGGAAGAACCCCAUGAUUCUGGUCGAGGUUUCUGAUUCGUAUGGGUCCAAAUCUAGCUUAAUAUGUGUUGAUAAUUUAAGGGGCGUGUCUGAAUUUUCACUGAGUUUCUUGAAUGAUAGAGUUAAGGUUCGAGCAUCUUGUAAUGGCUUGCUGUGUUGCUCUAGUAUUCCUGAUAAGGGUGUCUUCUAUGUCUGCAAUCCGGUCACUCGCGAGUACCGGUUGCUUCCCAAGAGUAGGGAAAGGCCUGUGACUCGGUUUUAUCCGGAUGGUGAGGCUACCUUGGUUGGCUUGGCCUGUGAUUCUUCUUAUCAGAAGUUCAAUGUUGUUCUGGCGGGUUACCAUCGCACUUUUGGUCAUAGGCCAGAUGGGAGUUUCAUAUGUUUGGUGUUUAAUUCUGAGUUGA